GUUGCACACACUGGGUGGAUUUCGGGAGGUUGCACACACUGGGGGCAUGUGGGGAGGUUGCACAGAGUGGGGGGAUUUGAGGAGGUUGCACACAGCGAGGGAGGAUUUGAGGAGGUUGUACACUGCGGGGCAAUUUGAGGAGGUCUUCGCAGUGGGGGGAUUUGGGGAGGUUGCUCACAAUGUGGUGAUUUGGGGAAGUGGCACACGGGGAUUUGGGGAGGUUGCACCCAGUGGGAGGGAUAGGCGGAGGUUGCACGGAGUGGGGCUGAUUUGGGGAGGUUGCACAGAGUGGGGGGGAUUUGGGGAGGUUGCACACAGUAGGGGGAUUUGGGGAGGUUGCUCACAGUGGGGAGAUUUGAGGAGGUUGCACACAGUGGGGGGAUUUGAGUAGGUUGCAUACAGUGGGGGGGAUUUGAGGAGGUUGCACACAGUACAGGGAUUUGAGGAGGUUGCAUACAGUAUGGGGGAUUUUGGGAGGUUGCACAGAGUGGGGUGGAUUUGGGGAGGUUGCACAGAAUGGGGGGAAAUUGAUGAGGUUGCACAAGUGGCGGGAUUUGGUGUGGUUGCCCACAAUGGGGGGGGGGGGGAUUUGGGGAGGUUGCACAGAGUGGGGGGAUGUGAGGAGGUUACACAGAGUUAGGUAGAUUUGGGGAAGGUGCACAGAGUGGGGGAGAUUUGGGGAGGUUGCACACAGUGGGGGGGAUUUGGGGAGGUUGUACACACUUGCGGCGAUUUAGGGAAAUUGCACACACUGGGGGGAUUUGAGGAGGUUGCUCACAGUGGCGGAGGAUUUGAGGAGACUGCACACAUUGGGGAGGGAUUUGGGGAGGUUGCACACAGUGAACAGAUUAGAGGAGGUUGUGCACAGUGGUGGGAUUUGGGGGGGUUACACACAGUGGGGGACUUGAGGUUGCACACAGUGGGGGGGAUUUGGGGAGGUUACCCACAGUGGGGAUAUUUGAGGAGGUUGCACACAGUGGGGGAGAUUUGAGGAGGUUGCACACACUAGAGGGAAUUGAGGAGGUUGCACACUGUGUGGGGGAUUUUUGGAAGUUGCACAGAGUGGGGGGGGUAUUUGGGGACAUUGCACAGAGUGGGCGGGAUUUGUGGAGGUUGCACACAGUGGCGCGAUUUGGUGCGGUUGCACAGUGUGGGCGGAUUUGGGGAAGUUGCACAGAGUGGUAGGGAUUUGGGGAGGUUGCACAGAGUGGGAGGGAUUUGGGGAAGUUGCACACUGCGUGGGGGGUUUGGGGAGUUUGCACAGAGUGGGAGGGAUUUGAGAUUGCACUGGGGGUAAUUUUGUGAGGCUGCACAGGGUGGGGGCGGAUUUGGGGAG
rnacentral:lncRNA from 1 species